UACGUAGGGUGCGAGCGUUGUCCGGAAUUAUUGGGCGUAAAGAGCUCGUAGGCGGUUUGUCGCGUCGACUGUGAAAACCUACAGCUUAACUGUGGGCUUGCAGUCGAUACGGGCAGACUGAGUUCGGUAGGGGAGACUGGAAUUCCUGGUGUAGCGGUGAAAUGCGCAGAUAUCAGGAGGAACACCGGUGGCGAAGGCGGGGUCUCUGGGGCCGAUACUGACGCUGAGGAGCGAAAGCGUGGGGAGCGAACAGG
rnacentral:rRNA from 1 species